GACGAACGCUGGCGGCGUGCCUAACACAUGCAAGUCGAGCGGGGUUGAAGCGAGGGGUAACUCGAGUUUCUACCUAGCGGCGGACGGGUGAGUAACGCGUGGGCAACCUGCCUCAAGGACUGGGAUAACAGCUCGAAAGGGCUGCUAAUACCGGAUAAGCCCAUGGCCUCGCAUGGGGCCAUGAGCAAAGGGGAAACCCGCCUUGAGAUGGGCCCGCGUCCCAUCAGCUAGUUGGUGAGGUGAAGGCUCACCAAGGCGACGACGGGUAGCCGGCCUGAGAGGGUGACCGGCCACACUGGGACUGAGACACGGCCCAGACUCCUACGGGGGCAGCAGUGGGGAAUCUUGCACAAUGGGCGAAAGCCUGAUGCAGCGACGCCGCGUGAGCGAAGAAGGCCUUCGGUUGUAAAGCUCUGUCUGGAGGGACGAAGGAAGUGACGGUACCUCCGGAGGAAGCCACGGCGUAACUACGUGCCAGCAGCCGCGGUAAACGUAGCGUG
rnacentral:rRNA from 1 species